AUGGAGCGCGGCAUCUUCGUCAGCUGCGCGGCGGGCAACGCCGGUCCGGACCCGGGCUCCGUCGGCAACGGGGCGCCUUGGAUGCUCACCGUCGCGGCCGGCACCAUGGACCGCGCGAUACGCACCACCGUGAGGCUCGGCAACGGCGAGGAGUUCGACGGCGAGUCCCUGUUCCAGCCGGGCAAC
rnacentral:rRNA from 1 species